UACGAAGGGUGCAAGCGUUACUCGGAAUUACUGGGCGUAAAGCGUGCGUAGGUGGUUCGUUAAGUCUGUCGUGAAAGCCCCGGGCUCAACCUGGGAAUGGCGAUGGAUACUGGCGGGCUAGAGUGCGGUAGAGGAGAGUGGAAUUCCCGGUGUAGCAGUGAAAUGCGUAGAGAUGUGGAGGAACACCGAUGGCGAAGGCAGCCCCCUGGGCUAGUACUGACGCUCAUGCACGAAAGCGUGGGGAGCAAACAGG
rnacentral:rRNA from 1 species